GCCGCGUCGAGCCCGAAAAAAAACUUUCCUCUUCCGCGUUCCUUGGGCCCUGGCCGUGUGCGGCCGUGACGUAGCCGCGCAGCCCGGCGUCCAAACGUUGACGCGCGGUGCGUAAACGCGUGUGGUGCGGUGAUAUACAAGUGAGAAUCGCGACACAACGACGACGAGAGCGUAUCAGCGCGUUGUGCGCCGAUGGAAACGUGACUGUCCCCCUUCGGGUUUAUACGCGGUGGUUCCUGUCACGGGCAGCGGCAGAGCGGGUAGCAGCCCUCUUCGUUCAACCCCCCGUCUCUGCCGAAAGGGCCACGUCGCCGACACGUCGAGGGAGGGAAGGAAGUGCUCGGCGUGCCGAUAACGACCACCGCGGCGGAGGUCACUGCAUUGCGAUUAACGCAGGGUUACAACUUACAACUUUGCUGUUGCGCAUCGGCCGACUAGCGACGCCGUGGCGGCUACGGUGAGAUACCGACAAGGGACACCGACGUGGAAGACGACAACGGCAUGAUCGCGCUGCGGGGGUAGUGGGGUUGAAAAUCGGCGCUUGCCCGGUGUCACUCUCUCCGACUCACGCGCCCCUCGAUCGCUCGCUCGGCUGUCCCACCAGAAAUCCACUGCCCCUAUCUCUCCUUCGUUCUCUACGCGUCCAUAUCCACGUGCGUGCACGUCGCGCGUACGCGUACGCCGGUCACGCGUAAUCACGCAUAUAGACACGCUUUCGGAGCAGAGAGAGAGAGAGAGAGAGAGAGAGGGAAGAAGCGCGUUACAACGUUACGCGCUUGCGCCCGCGGGAGUGCGGAGCGGCGUAGCGGAGUGCGCGCCGCUUGAUGGGGAGCGCAGCGCUCGGUGGGGAGUGCGCCGCUUGGUGGGGAGUGCGCGUCACCUGUCGCGACAUCAGUGUGACGGCGAGCGUCAGCGGGCGCGGACGGGUUGAUACGCGCGCUAUCGUAGUUUCUCCGGGUACGUCGUAGGCGUACGUCGUGCUCGCUCGUGUGUUCCGUACGGCGCUCGCGCGUGGACGCUUGAACGCGUGAACGCGAGUGCCGCCGGUUGCUGGGUGAACUCUCGGGGUCCCUUGGGUUCCGCGUCCACCUCGCCGUGCGCCGGCGCGCGUGCCGAACGCGCGCCGCUCCGGGUACCCCUUCGUGAACGUGAAUGUGUCGCCGCCUGGCCGCUGCGGGGCGGCCGACCGUCCUCGGUGAGACAUGCGUGCGGCAGGCCGCCGGUGGACGACCGUGGAUGCAACGACCGCAAUGGGGAACGACAUGGUCCCACCACACGUGACUGCCGCCGCGGCAUCCGCGCGCUUCCCGGCGCAGUGAGUGCUCGCGACGAGAGAAAGUAACUCGCGUGCACUACGGGCGUUGUCGUUGUUGCGCGGAGCGCAGUGUGACGGUGAUACGUACGGUACGGUACGGUACGUGCGUGCGUACGGUGCGCGUUGCGCGUCCGCGACCCCUACCGGAUCUCGUUUUGUUUCGUUUCGUUUCGUUCUCGCGUGUGCCGUUCGCGGUGGUUCUCGGUGCCCGCGGAGGAGACCGCGAACCCUGGCACGUCGUCGUUUCGCGCGCCGCUGCGACAUCAUCGCGUGGAGAAGAUGAGGCGCGCCGGCCUCCGCGUUGCCCCCAGGAUGCAACCGGGAUUGCUGUCCUGCUGGUGCGUCAUCGCGACUGUCACCCUCGCCCUGGCCGCUUGGCAGGAGAACGUCAGGCCGAAGAUGUACGUCCAGCUAGGUGAGUGAUUGCUCGUGAUUAGUGCGCGCAAGUGACGUAUAGUGUAUAUCUCUCAAUUCUCCCGUCUCGCCCUUCUCUAUUCGUUACUUCGUG